UGCAAGUCGAACGAGGAAUUUCGCCGAAGCUUGCUUCAUGAAAUUCCUAGUGGCGGACGGGUGCGUAACACGUGAGCAACUUGCCUGGAAGAGUGGGAUAGCCUGAGGAAACUCGGAUUAAUACCGCAUGUGAUCGUCUCAAGCACUUGAGAUUGCUUAAAGGUGGCCUUUGUGCUGCCGCUUCCGGAUAGGCUCGCGGUUUAUCAGCUUGAUGGUGGGGUAACGGCCCACCAUGGCUACGACGAAUAACUGAUCUGAGAGGAUGAUCAGUCACACUGGAACUGAGACACGGUCCAGACACCUACGGGUGGCAGCAGUCGAGAAUCAUUCGCAAUGGGGGAAACCCUGACGGUGCGACGCCGCGUGGAGGAUGACGGCCUUCGGGUUGUAAACUCCUGUCAUCAGAGAGUAAGACUGCGGGUAGUAACUGACCUGCAGGUUGAUAGUAUCUGAAGAGGAAGAGACGGCUAACUCUGUGCCAGCAGCCGCGGUAAUACAGAGGUCUCAAGCGUUGUUCGGAAUUACUGGGGCGUAAAGCGUGCGUAGGCGGCGAGGUAAGUCAGAUGUGAAAUCCCGGGGCUCAACCCCGGAACUGCAUCCCGAUACUGCCUUGCUAGAGUAGUGGAGGGGAGUCUGGAAUUCACGGUGUAGCAGUGAAAUGCGUAGAUAUCGUGAGGAACACUAGUGGCGAAGGCGAGACUCUGGACACUUACUGACGCUGAGGCACGAAGGCCAGGUAGCGAAAGGGAUUAGAUACCCCUGUAGUCCUGGCAGUAAC
rnacentral:rRNA from 1 species